AGUGAACGCUGGCGGUAGGCCUAACACAUGCAAGUCGAACGGCAGCACAGUAAGAGCUUGCUCUUACGGGUGGCGAGUGGCGGACGGGUGAGGAAUACAUCGGAAUCUACUUUUUCGUGGGGGAUAACGUAGGGAAACUUACGCUAAUACCGCAUACGACCUACGGGUGAAAGCAGGGGAUCUUCGGACCUUGCGCGAUUGAAUGAGCCGAUGUCGGAUUAGCUAGUUGGCGGGGUAAAGGCCCACCAAGGCGACGAUCCGUAGCUGGUCUGAGAGGAUGAUCGGCCACACUGGAACUGAGACACGUUCCAGACUCCUACGGGAGGCAGCAGUGGGGAAUAUUGGACAAUGGGCGCAAGCCUGAUCCAGCCAUACCGCGUGGGUGAAGAAGGCCUUCGGGUUGUAAAGCCCUUUUGUUGGGAAAGAAAAGCAGCAGGUUAAUACCCCGCUGUUCUGACGGUACCCAAAGAAUAAGCACCGGCUAACUUCGUG
rnacentral:rRNA from 1 species